AGUGAACGCUGGCGGCAUGCCUAACACAUGCAAGUCGAACGGUAACAGGCCCGCAAGGGUGCUGACGAGUGGCGGACGGGUGAGGAAUACAUCGGAAUUUGCCCAGUCGUGGGGGAUAACGUAGGGAAACUUACGCUAAUACCGCAUACGACCUAACGGUGAAAGCGGGGGACCUGCAAGGGCCUCGCGCGGAUGGAUAAGCCGAUGUCGGAUUAGCUAGUUGGCGGGGUAAGAGCCCACCAAGGCGACGAUCCGUAGCUGGUCUGAGAGGAUGAUCAGCCACACUGGGACUGAGACACGGCCCAGACUCCUACGGGAGGCAGCAGUGGGGAAUAUUGGACAAUGGGGGCAACCCUGAUCCAGCAAUGCCGCGUGUGUGAAGAAGGCC
rnacentral:rRNA from 1 species